UGAUAAUGAUUCAAGAUCUUGGAGACUGACACACACACACACAUGUUUUCUUUUAAGCGAAAGUGCUUUUCUGUACAGUAGUA
rfam:Drosophila pseudoobscura clone DPSF01_8_E17 (D1422) genomic sequence.